GGAGAGACUGUCUCCCCCCGAAAAAAUGAACUUAACUUUCAGGUGAAGAUGCCUGAAUAAUAAAAAAGGACAAGAAGACCCUAUUGAGCUUUAUUUUCUAAAUUUUGUUGGGGCGACAAGGGGGCCCGACCCCCCUUUUUUUAAAGACUAAAAAGUCGAUAACUGAUCCAGGGAAUCCUGAUUAAAUGAAAAAGCUACCAUAGGGAUAACAGGCUAAUACUUCUUAAGAGCCCAUAUUUACAGAAG
rnacentral:rRNA from 1 species